CGGAGAAGGAAGUUAAUGAACAAAAAGUCCCAAGCUCGGCUUGCUUUCGCUAUCAGCUUUUGUUCUUUCCUUCCGUCGUGCCAAAUCGCAAUUUUUACCCUCGUCCUUUAAGCGCGGUCUAAUUUGUGGCAGCGGAGCAAUGUUAUCCUCGGUAUUUAUCUAUUAUUUAUCAGCGAGCACUGCUGGAGCUGAUGGCAGGAGCGGCCUGCAGACAGCCCCACGUUGUGAAUCCAGGCUGCCCUCACAGGUGAUGAACCAUGGAAGGGACCCUCAGGGUUAUCAGGCCCCCCCGGGCAAUGCACACAGGCCUCCAGCUCAUGUUGCCCAGGGCUUCAUCCAGCCUCCAGCCCUGCCAUGGAUGGAGCAUCCACAGCCCCUUUAGGUAACGUCUUACAGCACCUCGGCCCUCUCAGCAAAAAAGCUUGCCUCUGACAACUCAUCUGAACCUCCUCUCUUUUAGGUUAAAGUCAUACCCCUUGUCCUGUCGCCACCUACCCUUGUAAGAAGUUGAUCUGGCUGCAUUUGGAUGUUUUUUUCCCUCAGUAACCUUUCAACUCCAGCUAACCUGGGCUUCACCUCCAGCAGUACCACCCAGAGCCACCUCUGGAUUUUGACCUCCAGCCCCACUGCUACACCUGCCCCAUCUGAUGGAGCAAGCUGCAAGCAAAGCUAAAUCCUUCAUCCUGAAGAGCCACCCCAGGUACCUGCUUCCCACUCAGCCCCACCUCAUCCCCAUGAAGCUCUGCCAUGGCUGCAGACCUCUCAGGUAUCGUGGGUUACAGGAAAGGAUUGCGCUGCUGAUACCACCAGAAUGAAAUAGCAUCUCGUGACUGUUCUAGCAUGGUAAAGAAGUUGGGGAAGCACAACAACAGGCUCUUGCUUUCACUGCUCUGCCCUCAGUGCAACUUUGGUGCUGUGCUGCAGGCACCAGAGCCCUCUGCCUCUCACCCUGGAUCCACAAAGGAGCAGGUGAUACAAACUCGUCAUCUAUGAACAGACAUGGGAGCCCUUUCCAGAGGAAAUGUAAGGACACCAUCAGGUACAUCCAGCUGUCUGCUCUUCCCUGGGGCUGACGGCAGUACCCCGUAGCUCUAACCUGUCAGUUCAGAGCAUCUAACUUAAUGCGUCAGCUGCACACCUAUGCCCUGUAUGCAAUAACCAGGCACAACGUGCCCUUUCCCCUGCCACCCUCCAAAGAUAAAAUAAAAAGAUCUCACGUUAAAUUUCAUCAAGCACCUGUCACAGGUUUCUUUGUAAAACAGUUUGAUCACAGUGACAGUAUAACCAAGGAAGGAAAAGGAUUGAGCACAUUUUGGUUUUAUGACGGAAUGCACGGGACAUCUCGUACCCUGAGUUAAGUAAACCCUAACCUGUGUGGGCAAUACCUGCUGGUUAAUAGAAAUGCCAUUAUUUAGACCAUCACAAUCAAUACAUUGGAUUUUGCUUCUGCAAGUGAAAGGGCUGUUAUUUUUCAUAUGGUUUGUCAAUAGGCUCUGGGUUAAGAGAUAUAUGAAAGAUAUUCUACACAGGCCAGAGAGUUAUGAGCUCUCAGGUGGAUGAAUUAUUUAAGCUCUUUUCACUUCUAUAAAAAAUAAAUACGGGGAUGGCCAAAACGGAUGCCAUAAAUUCUGUUUCUGAUCUCAGAUUCCCAUCUUUUCUUGUCUGUUCCAAAAGGCCUGGGCUCUUUGUACUGAAAACCUCUUGCCGUUUGCAUCCAUGAAGGGAAAUACAUUAUUAUCACUGAGAUAGCGUCCCUUGGUCUGGACUUUCAGGUGAACAUUUACAACAUACAGGAAUUUAGAGGCAAAAGGAGAUUGUAAAUAGGGCUGGAGGUUGGAAGGAAAGACAUGGAUUUCUCUAAUCAAAACCUCUUCUUGCUCAGUAGGGUCGCCUUCCAAACCAACACAGUCCUGCUGCUCUCUAGAGAUGUCCUCAGCCACUGCAGUCCUUUACAUCUCAUUUCCUGCCCCUUGCUCCUAGUGGCUUGCUCAGUGGCAGGGAAAAGGCAAAAGGGCAGAACUGAACUUGUACUUUUUCUUGGCAGCUCCCCCUGUCGUUCCUGCAUCUCUGCCACUGGCUGGAGGCUACCUGUCCCCAUAAAGAAACCUCAGCAGAGGAAAUUAAUUCAUGGCAAACAGAAAUGAAUUAUUUGAGGACAAAAUAAAAUCUGUGUACUACAGACAGUACGUACCAUGGCAGCUCCUAUGCUGCCUUCAUUGGGUGUCUGUCUCCCAGUUUGGCUCCAGUGAUUCUCUCCAGCCCUCACACACCAACUCAGCAGAGUUUUCUGCCCUACCACUCUAGCUGACAUGAUCCACGAGUUCACCUUAAUGAACGCCAUGUACCCCAACAACAAGUUCAAUAUAUUUUUCCUCCAUUCACAUGUGUGCUCAGAAAAGCCACAGCUCAGAGGAUGGCUCCUCUUUGUUGCCAGAUGCUGGAGGGAUGUUAAAGCAGAAGGGGAGUUCUCCAGCCUGCUCCCACGUAUUAGAAUAUUGCUUCCCUUCCCCACCAACACGUGCUCAAAGCACUCUAAGGCAGCCUGCUCUGUCCUUGCCGUUUCCUUACCCAAUGCACUCUAGUUAAUACCUUUUUCAUAAGGAGUUUUAAAUUAUAAGUCUAAAUGAGGCCAAUAAAUUAUACUUCAUAAAAUUCUGUGCACAUCAUUUUCCCGCAGAAAAGGCUCCAAAGAAAUAUUUUCCGUGCCACCACCUAUGUUCCCAUCCCUUUGCAAUAUAACAUUUAUUCUAAUAUUAAAAUGGCAGCUGCUCUAUAAAUUGUGAAUCAUUAGCACUCUUCAUUGAUUUUUCCCUUGCAGCCUGCAACCCUGGGCAGCGACUGUGUGUGAAUAUCAGUCUAUUGGAUUGAGAUUCAUAUCCUAUUUGAGGGUCAAAGACCGAGACCUCAUGAGCUUGAACUUCUAUCAGCCUAAAGCUGAUCAAUACUUGGAGAUAUAUUUGAUCCUGGCUGCUAGCACAGAUUAAGUGGCCAUAAAUACAAUCAAAAACGUGAGGAGAGAGUCAUUCCAUUUCAGUAUAUUAGUGGUGAUUUUGCGCUGGCUGAGGCAGAAAAAAAUCCAUAAUCAUAAGCCUUAUUAAAGAACAAUAUCCUUUGAGGGCUUUUUGUUUUCCUCUUUAGAUAAUGUGAAGCCUUGAAAAAUAGACAUAGAAAUAGAAAGAAAUAGAGACACUGUGUUACACCGCUGGGGACCACGGCACUCAGGGAAAUUACCUUCCUAUUUUUAGGCAUGUUUACAACACGCCUAUUUGCAGCAUUACCUUUGAUCCUAAACUCUAAUUUAUAGGAUUCUUUUUAUAUGCCUGGGAGACCCGGAAUGGAAACAACCGUAAGCAUGGCAUGAAGUCAAGGGGACUGAUUGGAAAAGCAAAGGACUAACUGCCUGCAGGAGGGAGUGUGGGUGUAAGUGUGGGGAGGAACCACUGCACUCGUCUGCAGGGCACAGCAUCCUCCAUCAGCCAGUGUUAGGAGGGAAGGCACCGCCUGCCCACAGCCAAAGGCAUCCCAGUGUUUAUGUUUACGUGGCUUUGUGUCCUUGUGGUGUCCUUGUGCAGAGAGACUUCAUUAUCAUAAAGAAUAUGUUUUUAUUCCGCUACAUAAGUACUACUUAUUAUCGUCUCAUACAUUUUCUGACACAACCAAGGGGUCUUUAUUGUUGUACAUCAAGGUCACUGACAAGUAAUAUAUUCAAUCUAUUAAGUUAUUAGGGAGAUAAAUAAUUUGGAUGCAAGCUGAACUCUGAACUUUUACCUUUUCCCCUGACAGACGGGCAGUUUCUUGGCAUUCAUACUAAUCUUGCCUGUGCUUGAAUAGUAAUUCCAUUAGGGUUAUGACUGCAGCUGUACAUAUGCAACGACCUCAAAUACAAUUUCUUUAUGGAGAUGGGCAAUAGGAAUAUUAAAAUUUUAAGCCAAAGAGGAUGUAAUUUAACUUUGCAUUAUUUAUUGUGGAUACAAAUCCUUUAUAAUAUUAAAGGAUAAAGAAUUAAUAAAAGAAAGAUCCCAUAAACAAUCCAUAAAGUCAAAUGUAGUUCGUGAUUUAAUGCAAUUGCUUUUUAGUGUCUCCUGGUCGCAGACUCACAGCUCAUUAAAAACAUCUAGUCAAGAAUCAAGCAUCGCCGCUGCCUUGAGGUCUCUGGGUGCUUCAGGAAGCAGCUCCAGCUCUGCUCCUACAUAGACCUGAGAGUGCCUGUGGCUAAUCUUAAUCCAGAGGUUACUGUGGUUAAUUAGUGCCUGAAACCAAGCCCCGUGCACCUGCUGAGCAUGGCAUCAUCCCUACAUGUACUCACAAUGCCUUGGGCUGGGCAGUGCCCCGGGCUUGGUUGUGUCCCAGGCUGGGUCUCCAGGGUUUGGGAGCUCUGGUUUUCCCUACUCUGAUCUCUAUCAGAGAGUUUUCACUUCUGAACACUUCAUUUCUGCUCCAGAAACUGUGUGCCUUUAGCUUUUAAUAGGUGAAUGGCGUGUCCUAACUGCUGGGACAGGAAGGGUUUGGAGCAUCAUCCACAAAAGGGGGUAGAAAACCCAGGCUUUCCUACCAUCACUGUUAAUGUUC